CCCCAGCCCGGUUCAGGGGUUUUACUUCUUCAAUCCCAAGAAUAUGGGUCAUAGUUCUCUUCCGCCUCCCGAUACGGUGACGCCUCCUCCUUCUAACACCGUGUUCACAUCCGCGGCUUCCUGAUCGGAGGAGCCAAGCAAGAAGAUCCGGAAACCUUAUACUAUUACCAAGUCUAGAGAGAGCUGGACUGAGCUGGAGCACGAUAAGUUUCUCGAAGCUCUUCAAUUAUUUGAUCGUGAUUGGAAGAAGAUUGAAGCAUUUGCUGGGUCCAGAUCCGUAGCCAUGCGGAAAAGUACUUCCUAAAAGUUCAGAGACAAGUGAACAUGUUCUUCCUCCUCGGUCAAAAAGGAGAGCAGCUCAUGCAUACCCACAAAAGGCUCCCAAAAAUGCUACUGUUGUACCCCAAGUUGUUGGACCAUUUCAAUCUUCAUCUGCCUUACAUAACUCCGGUUAUACGUGCAGGCCAGAUUCAUCGUCAAUGCAUGGGAAUCCAAUUGCCACUUCAGCUUUGUCUUCCUGUAGUUGCAACUCUGUGCCACCCAUCUUUGAACCCCAAGUGACC